UACAGAGGUCUCAAGCGUUGUUCGGAUUCAUUGGGCGUAAAGGGUGUGUAGGUGGCGCGCUAAGUCGGGUGUGAAAUUUCGGAGCUUAACUCCGAAACUGCAUUCGAUACUGGCGUGCUUGAGGACUGGAGAGGAGACUGGAAUUCAUGGUGUAGUAGUGAAAUGCGUAGAGAUCGGGAGGAAUACCGGUGGCGAAAGCGACUCUCUGGACGGCAACUGACGCUGAGGCACGAAAGCGUGGGGAGCAAACAGG
rnacentral:rRNA from 1 species